GCAAGCAAGAAUCAUCUUCAACUUCUAUCCAAGUAAUCAAACUCCUCCAGCUUCAAGAACCCGCCUUUCAGCCUUGUGAACUUCACAACCCAAAUCCAAUUCACGGAGGUGAUAUCUCGCAAGGGAAUCGUGAUCGCAAAGGAAAGAAAAUAGUUUUGGAAUAAG